AACGCUGGCGGCAUGUCUUUACGCAUGCAAGUCGAACGGCGUUAGGGGCUUGCUCCGUAAGUUAGUGGCGAACGGGUGAGUAAUACAUACGGAACGUACCGUGUAGGUGGGGGAUAACGUAGCGAAAGUUACGCUAAUACCGCAUACGAUCUACGGAUGAAAGUGGGGGACCUUCGGGCCUCACGCUAUACGAGCGGCCGAUGUCUGAUUAGCUAGUUGGUGAGGUAAAGGCUCACCAAGGCAACGAUCAGUAGCGGGUCUGAGAGGAUGAUCCGCCACACUGGGACUGAGACACGGCCCAGACUCCUACGGGAGGCAGCAGUGGGGAAUUUUGGACAAUGGGCGAAAGCCUGAUCCAGCCAUGCCGCGUGUCUGAAGAAGGCCUUCGGGUUGUAAAGGACUUUUGUCAGGGAGCAAAACUUAGAGGUUAAUAACCUUUGAGGUUGAGAGUACCUGAAGAAUAAGCACCGGCUAACUACGUG
rnacentral:rRNA from 1 species